rnacentral:rRNA from 1 species
AUUGAACGCUAGCGGGAUGCCUUACACAUGCAAGUCGAACGGCGUGGCGAACGGGUGAGUAAUGUAUCGGAACGUGCCCAGUAGCGGGGGAUAACUACGCGAAAGCGUAGCUAAUACCGCAUACUAUUGGAGCGACCGCUAUCGGAUUAGCUAGGUGGUGGGGUAACGGCUCACCAAGGCGACGAUCCGUAGCUGUUUGUAGAGGACGACCAGCCCCACUGGGACUGAGACACGGCCCAGACUCCUACGGAAGGCAGAAUUGGGGAAUUUUGGACAAUGGGGGAAACCCUGAUCAAGCCAUCCCGCGGGUGCGAUGAAGGCCUUCGGGUUGUAAAGCACGUUUGGCAGGAAAGCGGUACCUGCAGAAUAAGCACCGGCUAACUACGUGCCAGCAGCCGCGGUAAUAC